UACGGGGGGGGCAAGCGUUGUUCGGAAUUACUGGGCGUAAAGGGCUCGUAGGUGGCCAACUAAGUCAGACGUGAAAUCCCUCAGCUUAACUGGGGAAUUGCGUCUGAUACUGGAUGGCUUGAGUUUGGGAGAGGGAUGCGGAAUUCCAGGUGUAGCGGUGAAAUGCGUAGAUAUCUGGAGGAACACCGGUGGCGAAGGCGGCAUCCUGGACCAACACUGACACUGAGGAGCGAAAGCCAGGGGAGCAAACGGG
rnacentral:rRNA from 1 species